UGUCUUAGUUCUUAGUCCUGUACAUUAGUUCAUGUGUUUUAUGUGUUAUUUUGCCUAUGUCUGUCUGAGUUCUGCUGGAGUCCUGCUGCUUCUUCCUGCCUGCUUGUCUCUCUGUUUUCCAUACUCUCUGCCUGCCUUGUUAGCCCUGAUCCCGGUCACCUGUGUUGCUCCCGCCCCGCUCGUUAGUCCCCGUAUGUGUGUAUAUAUGCCUGCUCUUGUCUUCAGUCUUGGUCACGUCCUUGUGUGUGUGCGUCUUGUUGAGUGUUCCGCCUUGUUUUCCCUGUUCCGGAUCGCCUUGUGUUUCCGGAUCGCCUUGUGUUUCCGGAUCGCCUUGUGUUUCCUGGAUUACCUUUGCUUGGACUUUUGCCCUGAGUUCCACGUAAGCCUGUUUCAGUUGAGUUUGAGUUAAUAAAGUCUUUGAACUGCAUCCUCCUCUCGCCUUGCCAUUGUCUGCAUUUGGGUCCUCACCCCAGUCUGCACUCAGCAGCCAACCCCUGACAGUGUCCCCAGCCAUGAUGUAGCGCGGGCAUGGGAAAACACACUGCCUGAACUGCUCACCAGCCAUCUCCUCUGCUAGACUUUUUUCCAGCUGACUCAGGCUCAGACAGGAAAGUUUAACAUCCACGUUCAUGUCGAGUACGAGUGGCGUCUCCAGAUUGAGGACCUGGACAAGAGUGACGAUGAGAUGGAGGACAAGAUCAGCUGGUUUCAUGUUGAACAGCUUGUGGGCGUGUAGCAGUUCAGAUGUGUCUGUUUCCUGCAGCCAAUCCGUAACCAGCGUGAGGAGCAUCCCAUCAGCUGCUUUGUGCUGUGCAGCGCCGAUGGCAGCGGCCCCUUGCAGCCCAACCUGCCGGCGCAGACACGCUGCUGAGCCUGGAGAGGGCAGGAGGGUUAGCAGGUCUGGUCUCCAAAGAGAAGUGAUGAGGGCUGUUUUUAUUAUUAGUUACGUCAUGUAAUAGACGUGACAAAAGACCAACUCACCGGGAAAACCGAGCUACCAGGAGCUACUGACCACAGCUCCAGCAGAGUGGCUCUGAGCUCCGGUAGACUGCAGUCAGCUGAUUCGUUCGUUUAUUCGGAUCCCCGUUAGCUGCUACUAAUGUGGCAGCUACUCUUCCUGGGGUCCACAUACGACAAACAUAUAGCAAAUAUACAAGUUAUCCAUGAAUCUAAAAAUGACACCUACAGUGCUUAUAAAAAGUAUCACUGUGUGUACGUGAUAAUGCAGGCAGCUGACAAAGUAAAAAGUGUCACAACACAAUUAUGCAACAAACCA